rnacentral:rRNA from 1 species
AUACGGAGGGUGCAAGCGUUAUUCGGAAUCACUGGGCGUAAAGGACGCGUAGGCGGGUUGGCAAGUCAGAUGUGAAAUCCUACAGCUUAACUGUAGAACUGCAUUUGAAACUGCUAACCUAGAGUAUGGGAGGGGGAGAUGGAAUUAGUGGUGUAGGGGUAAAAUCCGUAGAUAUCACUAGGAAUACCGAAAGCGAAGGCGAUCUCCUGGAACAUAACUGACGCUAAGGCGUGAAAGCGUGGGGAGCAAACAGGAGUAGAAACCCCGGUAGUCC